UACGGAGGGUGCAAGCGUUAUCCGGAUUCACUGGGUUUAAAGGGUGCGUAGGUGGGUUUGUAAGUCAGUGGUGAAAUCUCCGUGCUUAACAUGGAAACUGCCAUUGAUACUAUAGGUCUUGAAUUUUCUGGAGGAUAGCGGAAUAUGUCAUGUAGCGGUGAAAUGCUUAGAUAUGACAUAGAACACCAAUUGCGAAGGCAGCUAUCUACAGGAUAUUGACACUGAGGCACGAAAGCGUGGGGAUCAAACAGG
rnacentral:rRNA from 1 species